GGGGCAGUAGCUCAGUUUGGGAGAGCGCCUGAAUGGCAUUCAGGAGGUCGUGGGUUCGAUCCCCAUCUGCUCCACCA
rnacentral:tRNA from 1 species